AAGAGAACCAAAAAAGCGCGUCCGAACAUUGUUUCCAGAAACCUGGUUUUGGUUAAAUAAAACAGCAAGCGCGGACGGUAUGACGUCACUAAGUAUUCCUGUACCUGAUACUAUUACUACCUGGGUCGCUACAGCUUUUGCUGUCAACCCUAACUCUGGACUGGGACUGGACCCGUCUCCUGCUAACGUUAGAGUGUUUCAGCCUUUCUUUGUGAGUCUGACUUUGCCGUACUCCGUUACACGGGGGGAACUUGUGGUUAUCCAAGCUAAUGUGUUUAACUAUCUGAAAAAAGACAUCAAGGU